rnacentral:tRNA from 1 species
GAGCCAGUGGCGCAAUUGGACAGCGCGACGGCCUUCUAAGCCGUAGGUUGCAGGUUCAAGUCCUGCCUGGCUCGCCA